ACUGACGAGUUGACAUGACAUAAAAAGCUGUUGCUGUGACAGUGAAAGAUUUCUUUUGUAAGCAAAUUGUGUUUUUAUCGUGAUCAAAUCAAAGUUCACGGGUACCUAGGUUUACAACUUACAACCACAGAAAAUUUUACUGAAUCCAGCUUGAAGAAUAUUUCUUUAGUAAAAAUGCAGUGAAAGUACAUUUUCCAGACGCAACUGAUCUGGACAUUACGCGAUGUAUUGGUAUUUCACUAGCGACAGCCGGAGACCGGGAUGGGGGAAGAAUAUUUAGAGCUAAAAAUAAUACCAGCCAUGAAGAUAAUAUGUAGGCUUAUUUUAUUACUUAGUUAAUAUUUUUGUAAGAUAAAUUGUUUUCUUCAAUACAUUAAAGUUUCCAUACACA